GGCCGAACCUGCUCCUCUAAAAGACGACUACCUAAUUAUUCUUAGAAUCACCAGUUUCGAUACAUCAUCAUCAUGCCUGGACCCGACGUCAAGUGUUUCUGUUGCCAAGAGGGCAAAGAGUGUGCCUGCGGGGGUGGAGAGUGCUGCAUCACAGGAAAAUGCUGUCAGGAAGGAGAUGGAACUUGCUGUGGAAAAUGUUCAAAUGCUGCAUGCAAGUGUGCCGAUGGCUGCAAAUGUGAAGGUGCCUGUGCCUGUACUAUGGGUAACUGUACGUGCUAGGUCAUCAUCUAGACCAGUUUCUUUCCGUUGGGAAGAUCGUCAUCUCUUCUGCAAAUUUGCUCCAAGCGGAUUUCAUUUGUGUAUACCAUGUAUCAUUUUUGUAACAUAAUGUAUAUUUGUUUUUACAUAAAAAAUAAAGUACACUUGUAAAAAUUAAGGCAUUUCAAAGAACUUUAAUUGCAGAAUCACUUACGGGUGCCCCGUGCAUCUUACUCAUUUUGGAAUUCUUUCACGAUAUUCUUUUACUACCUCGAAAAUAUAUUAUUUGAAAAUUGACAAUAUUCGCUAUAAAAUAUGCUAAAAUUGCAA